CCCUUAGAUGUUCUGGGCCGCACGCGCGCUACAAUGGUCUUCGCAAACGGAUGCAUUCUCGAAGGAGAAUGCCAAUCUUGGAAUCUAUGCCUUGGUCGGGACAGUUGCUUGCAAUUUUUCGACUCGAACCAGGAAUUCCUUGUAAUCGUGAUUCAUCACAUCACGAUGAAUACGUCCCUGCCCUUUGUACACACCGCCCGUCGCUCCUACCGAUCGAAGAGUUAGGUGAAUUGUUUUGAUCGAUAAGAUUUGACUAUGGUCAACUCUCGUUGUGUAAUUCUGUGAAUCUGACUGUUUAGAGGAAGGAAAAGUCGUAACA
rnacentral:rRNA from 1 species